rnacentral:rRNA from 1 species
ACCGGGUAAAAAGAUUAGCUUUGAAAAUGGCUGAUUUGUAUAGAAGGGGGCCAGAAAUACUACCUAGCUGGAUUUAGUCUAAAAGAUAGACGAAUCUCAAGGGGACCAGAGUUUGAAUUAAUUUCAGGCAAUAAGCUUAUAGCGGGUCAUGCGUCAGCUGUAGUCCGUAGCUUUGGUACUAAAUGUAAUCAUUAUACCAGUAAAAGGCGAGAAGAGGGAGGUAAAGCGGGUGCCAGCACCAGCGGUUAAACCCAUCAUCCUCAAAGAAAAAGUUUCGAGUAGUAGGGGGAAAGAGGUAAAAGUCAUGCUAGAGGUUAGCUUUCUACCUUAAUAAAACGUAGAAAUUUAAGUAAGGUAUGGUAAAACUUACAGUCAAACUUCUUUUCCGUAGGGCUGUGGCUAGUGACGGGGUAAAUCCCCUUAACAAUGUUCGUGUUCGGGCGAAGAGUGGUUAAAUACCAUGGGAAGUCAAUAUACUUGGCGGUGUUAUGUAUUCGGUCAGGGGAGCUUGGCGGUUAAUUCGAUGUACCGCGAGAACCUUACCUCAUAUUUUUCUAUCUGUACGGCCGUUGUUAGUGUGUCUUAAAGGGAUGUGCGAAAUUUCUUGCUGUUUAAAUGUUGAGGCAGCAAGGCAGAAUUCAGGUAAAUGUGGAGGGGGUGAUGAGGCCUUAGCUGAGCUACAAUUUUUAUUAUAUACGGACUUCGGCUGAAAUAACCGAAAGUGGUCAGGUUAACUUGGUUGACUCUUAACAAGGCUAUCAAGGUUAACGACUGCGCAGAAGGUGGACUUGAAAGUAAGAAGGAGAGAAGAAUGCCCUUCUGAAUGGUUAGUCAUAACGCGUACAAACCGCCCAGCGCUCUUGUAUUAAAAAGUCUAGAUAAGUUGUAACAAGGAAAAAUUAGCCGAAGCUGUUUUUAGUUAGAUGAG